rnacentral:rRNA from 1 species
GCCUACGGGGGGCUGCAGUCGAGAAUCUUCCGCAAUGGACGAAAGUCUGACGGAGCGACGCCGCGUGCGGGAUGAAGGCCCUUGGGUUGUAAACCGCUGUCAGGGGGGAUGAAAUCUCCGAAGGUUCUCCUUCGGAGUUGACAGAGCCCCAAAGGAAGCACGGGCUAAGUACGUGCCAGCAGCCGCGGUAACACGUACUGUGCGAACGUUAUUCGGAAUCACUGGGCUUAAAGGGUGCGUAGGCGGCGAUCUAAGUCAGAUGUGAAAUGCCUGAGCUCAACUGAGGCAUUGCGUUUGAAACUGGGUUGCUUGAGUGUUCCAGGGGUGUGCGGAACUGCCAGUGGAGCGGUGAAAUGUGUUGAUAUUGGCAGGAACACCGGAGGCGAAAGCGGCACACUGGGGGAUAACUGACGCUGAGGCACGAAAGCCAGGGGAGCGAACGGGAUUAGAUACCCGGGUAGUCAC